rnacentral:lncRNA from 1 species
GGUGUUCAAACUCCAAAUUGCAUCAGGCAGACUGUCUUUGAUGCAGUAGCUCUUGAUUACCAAUCUGUUACCGUUAUCACUGAUGCCACCGCUGCUGCAACACCUGAGAUACAUGCUGGCAAGUACUCUCUGAUUUGUUGAAUUGAUAUGAUUUUAUCUGUUGCUAUUUGUUUCUUUUGAUUCUGUUGUGGCAGGCAACCUGGGUUCACUCCCAUGCAUGCCAUUUCCUGUCCUUAAAUUUGACGUUCUGUUAGUUAUAAGAAGAUAUUGGAUAAGAAAUUGAGUCUCUUUGUUCCUAUUAGAAAACAAAAUAUACUUGAACUAGGAGAAUACUGUAUGAGUCAAAUACAUUAUAUGAGUGAAUUCGUAGCUUACAUUAUUGUAACCAGACAAAGAUUCUCCAUCAUCGGUGGUAGUUUGACUUUUUGUUGUCCUUCUCUGCACAUAUACGCAGUUAUGAUACAUGAAUGUUGAAUAAAUUACAACAAAAAGAAAAUUUAGUUCAUAAAUAGAGUAAUUUACCAC